UACUCGAGUGGCGAACGGGUGAGUAACACGUGGGUGAUCUGCCUUGCACUCUGGGAUAAGCUUGGGAAACUGGGUCUAAUACCGGAUAGGAACCGUCUUUAGUGUGGUGGUUGGAAAGUUUUUUCGGUGUGGGAUGAGCUUGCGGCCUAUCAGCUUGUUGGUGGGGUAAUGGCCUACCAAGGCGUCGACGGGUAGCCGGCCUGAGAGGGUGUACGGCCACAUUGGGACUGAGAUACGGCCCAG
rnacentral:rRNA from 1 species